rnacentral:rRNA from 1 species
GUGGGGAAUAUUGGACAAUGGGCGAAAGCCUGAUCCAGCCAUGCCGCGUGUGUGAAGAAGGUCUUCGGAUUGUAAAGCACUUUAAGUUGGGAGGAAGGGCAGUAAGUUAAUACCUUGCUGUUUUGACGUUACCGACAGAAUAAGCACCGGCUAACUUCGUGCCAGCAGCCGCGGUAAUACGAAGGGUGCAAGCGUUAAUCGGAAUUACUGGGCGUAAAGCGCGCGUAGGUGGUUCAGUAAGUUGGAAGUGAAAUCCCCGGGCUCAACCUGGGAACUGCGUUCAAAACUGCUGAGCUAGAGUACGGUAGAGGGUGGUGGAAUUUCCUGUGUAGCGGUGAAAUGCGUAGAUAUAGGAAGGAACACCAGUGGCGAAGGCGACUACCUGGACUGAUACUGACACUGAGGUGCGAAAGCGUGGGGAGCAAACAGGAUUAGAAACCCCGGUAGUCC